AUCUGGGGGGGCGGGGAGGGGGAUAGGGAUGUCAAAGUCCUUGCCAGUGGAGAAACCUCCCCCUGCUGUCAUGUGCCCUUCUUCAGGAAGAGCAGCUCGGCCAGAAAGAGGUUGAUGCACAGGUUCUUGUGGAUGGUGUUGCGGUCGGUCUGCAGCCCCCGCAAGAAGCAGAAGGUAGAGAUACAGAUGGCCAGGCAGACGAGGGAGAUCACGAUGCCCACCCAGAGUGCCUUGGGAGAAGGUGGGACCAUGACCAGAAAGAACCAGACAUGUGGCCUCCUGCCCCGGGCAAGACUGGUGCCACCCCCCAAUGCCCAUGAAGCUGGUCUUCCCUGGCACUGCCCAUGCAGCG